ensembl:misc_RNA Metazoa_SRP Metazoan signal recognition particle RNA
GCCAGGUGUGGUGGCACACACCUGUAAUCUCAGCUACUCAGGAGGCUGAGGCAUGAGAAUUGCUUGAACCCGGGAGGCCUGGGUUGCAGUGAGCUGAGAUCACUCCACUGCACUGCAGCCUGGGUGACAGAGCGAGACUCUGCCUCAA